AUUGAACGCUGGCGGCAGGCCUAACACAUGCAAGUCGAACGAGUGGCGGACGGGUGAGUAAUGUCUGGGAAACUGCCCGAUGGAGGGGGAUAACUACUGGAAACAGUAGCUAAUACCGCAUACCAUCGGAUGUGCCCACAUGGGAUUGGCGAGUAGGUGGGGUAACGGCUCACCUAGGCGACGAUCCCUCGCUGGGCUGAGAGGAUGACCAGCCACACUGGAACUGGGAGCGGGUCCAGCCUCCUACGGGAGGCAGCAGGGGGGAAUAUUGGACAAGGGGCGCAAGCCUGAUGCAGCCAUGCCGCGUGUAUGAAGAAGGCCUUCGGGUUGUAAAGUACUUUCAGCGAGGAGGCGUUACUCGCAGAAGAAGCACCGGCUAACUCCGUGCCAGCCGCCGCGGUAAUAC
rnacentral:rRNA from 1 species